rnacentral:rRNA from 1 species
GACGAACGCUGGCGGCGUGCUUAACACAUGCAAGUCGAACGGAAAGGCCCGGCUUUUGUGGGGUUCUCGAGUGGCGAACGGGGGAGUAACACGUGAGUAACCUGCCCUUGAGUUUGGGAUAACUUCAGGAAACUCGGGCGAAUACCGGAUAGGAGCUCCUGAUGCAUGGGGGUGGUGGGAAAGAGUCGGCGUUUGGGCAUGGACUCGCGGCCUAGCAGCUUGUUGGUGGGGUAGUGGCUUAACAAGGCUUUGACGGGAGGCCGGCCUGAGAGGGUGACCGGCCCCAAUGGGCCUGGGAUGCGGCCCGGACUGCUACGGGAGGCAGGAGUGGGGGAUAUUGCACAAUGGGCGGAGGCCUUAUGCAGCAACGCCGCGUGCGGGAUGACGGCCUUCGGGGUGUAACCCGCUUUCGCGUGUGACGAAGCGUGAGUGACGGUAACGGGUAAAAAAGCACCGGCUAACUACGUG